rnacentral:rRNA from 1 species
AUGCAUCUCCAAUCCUGGACGUGUUUGCCAGCUCUGCACUGGCCCCAGAGCAGCUUCUACGAGGCGCGCGGCCUCAUGCUCCAGCAUCUCCUGUUCCUCUCCUACCUGCACAUAAACGGCAAAAGAAGCAAGGAAGAAGGGAAAAGAAAAGGCGGGCAGUGCAACGGCAAUGUUUGCAAGCAAGGAACCAUGCAGGGAGGGACACUUUACUUUGGUGAAAGGAUAGCAAUGCAAUCAGCUACAUUUGUGGUGAGGAGAGUAAUUUCUUCUGCAGGAGAUGUGCCCGGCCGUCAUGAUUUUUUUCUGCUGCUGGUACUAGCAGCAGUAGCUGCUACUAAUUCCUUUCAAGAAGAUCAAAAUGGCUGUUACAUAUAUGUUGAAGAAGUCAUAUCUAACAACUGUCCGUUACUUCAGAGGGUACACUGUUUUGAUGAAGCCCCCAGAAAGCUGCUUGAUCUUAUGUUGAGUUUAGAGUCACAUAACAAAGCUAAAUCAUUCUUCUUGGCUGGGUGGCUCGGUCGUGGUGUUGGAGCCUCUGCUGUUUUUAGAGCCACCGCCAAACUCCUGAAAUCCAGAAGAAGUGCUCCUAACAUGAGAGAGCAGUUUGGCAAAAUUAUCCACGUAGACUGCUCUCUCUGGAAAAAUAGAAGAACUAUGCAGAGGGCAAUCCCGGAGGAAUUGAACCUUGGCCAUUUAAUUACUGAUGGCCCAUUGGACAGGAAGAUGAGAAGAUGCGCAACAACCAGCUGGCACUGCUACAAAAGGUUGCGAGUUUGA